UACGUAGGUGGCAAGCGUUGUCCGGAUUUAUUGGGUUUAAAGGGUGCGUGGGUGGUCUAUUAAGUCAGUGCUGAAAUAUCCCGGCUUAACCGGGAGGGUGGCAUUGAUACUGAUGGACUUGAGUAAAGUUGAGGUAGGCGGAAUUGACGGUGUAGCGGUGAAAUGCUUAGAUAUCGUCAAGAACACCUAUAGCGAAGGCAGCUUACUAAGCUUUAACUGACGCUGAGGCACGAAAGUGUGGGGAUCAAACAGG
rnacentral:rRNA from 1 species